rnacentral:rRNA from 1 species
UGAGGAAUAUUGGUCAAUGGACGAGAGUCUGAACCAGCCAAGUAGCGUGAAGGAUGACUGCCCUAUGGGUUGUAAACUUCUUUUAUACGGGAAUAAAGUUAGCCACGUGUGGCUUUUUGUAUGUACCGUAUGAAUAAGGAUCGGCUAACUCCGUGCCAGCAGCCGCGGUAAUACGGAGGAUCCGAGCGUUAUCCGGAUUUAUUGGGUUUAAAGGGAGCGUAGGCGGGUUGUUAAGUCAGUUGUGAAAGUUUGCGGCUCAACCGUAAAAUUGCAGUUGAUACUGGGUGUCUUGAGUACAGUAGAGGCAGGCGGAAUUCGUGGUGUAGCGGUGAAAUGCUUAGAUAUCACGAAGAACUCCGAUUGCGAAGGCAGCCUGCUGGACUGUAACUGACGCUGAUGCUCGAAAGUGUGGGUAUCAAACAGGAUUAGAUACCCUGGUAGUCCACACAGUAAACGAUGAAUACUCGCUGUUUGCGAUAUACAGUAAGCGGCCAAGCGAAAGCGUUAAGUAUUCCACCUGGGGAGUACGCCGGCAACGGUGAAACUCAAAGGAAUUGACGGGGGCCCGCACAAGCGGAGGAACAUGUGGUUUAAUUCGAUGAUACGCGAGGAACCUUACCCGGGCUUGAAUUGCAACUGAAUGAUGUGGAGACAUGUCAGCCGCAAGGCAGUUGUGAAGGUGCUGCAUGGUUGUCGUCAGCUCGUGCCGUGAGGUGUCGGCUUAAGUGCCAUAACGAGCGCAACCCUUAUCGAUAGUUACCAUCAGGUUAUGCUGGGGACUCUGUCGAGACUGCCGUCGUAAGAUGUGAGGAAGGUGGGGAUGACGUCAAAUCAGCACGGCCCUUACGUCCGGGGCUACACACGUGUUACAAUGGGGGGUACAGAAGGCAGCUACACGGCGACGUGAUGCUAAUCCCGAAAGCCUCUCUCAGUUCGGAUUGGAGUCUGCAACCCGACUCCAUGAAGCUGGAUUCGCUAGUAAUCGCGCAUCAGCCACGGCGCGGUGAAUACGUUCCC